UUUAACACUGCUUAUGCUCAACGUUUGACUGUUCGUCUUAUUAGAUGAUAAUACAUGAAUAUUAUUUUAUGUGUGACUAAUAUUAUUAAUUUUUUUCAUAAUAUUUUUAAAUAAGACGGACGGUCAAAACACUGGACAUGGAUAUCUAUGGCUGCACUUAUU
rfam:Oryza nivara chromosome 3, whole genome shotgun sequence.